AACUCGUAUGCCCUGGUUCGUUCAAGCACAACCACACAAAAUCAAAACCUUGAAGAGCUAUCCGGUGCUCCUGCUGCUACUUCCGAUAGUGUAGAAAAAGAAGAUAUAUUCAGUGCUUUCGCCAGUCACAACAAAGAAGACCAAUUCGUGGAGCCACAGUUCGAAGACUCGCUAUCAGCUGGUGUGGCUGCUUCUGCUGUUGCUGCUGAUGCGACUGCGGCUGUUGCUACUCCCGAUCCCGCACCAGUUGCGGCCCCGCCGCCGGUUGUCAUAACAAAAGCAGUUACUCCAAAAGCGGUGACCCCGGUGAGACAACCAUCGGAGGAAAUACCGAAUCCGGUAGAAGCUUCUUGCAGUAAACCUGCUUAGCAGUGUAUACAGGCGGAGAAUUUUUUCAAGCAGUUUCGUUUGGAUGUUUGGUUCAAGCCGGAGAAAUUGCACCCGAAAGUGGAAUCCCUGAUCUACUGACGUGAUGUUAAGGAAUCCGCAAUCGUGUUCGGCAACAACCCUGCUCGUCAUGUCGCUAAUUUCGUUGAUCAGCGUUUUCUCGUACGUUUUGCUGCUGGUCCUGUUCGGAACCGUUUCGUUCCGAAUCUACAAGAACGUGCUUCAGGCCGUACAAAAGACCUUCGAAGGACACCUGUUCAAAGAAUACCUGGACUUUGAUUUGACCCUAUCGCAGGAGAAAGUACAGCAGCUGACCACGGUUGCUGUAGCGCAUGCCAACGCCCUGCUGUCGGAGUUACGCCUUCUGUUCCUGGUGGAAGAUGUAAUCGAUUCUAUCAAGUUUGGAACAAACUAUAUGCUCUACCAUUGCUGGAUGGAUUCCCCGGAGAUUUGGCACGUUUAUAACCUGCCUUCCGGGGCCACCUUUGCAUCUGCUGAACUCCAAUAUUCCCGUGAAGUGCUUUACCGAACAGCAGACCCAAAUGGAUAUGGAACUGUUCAAGCGGUUGAUACGUGUGAUCCGGCUAACAGGGACAAGCACCAGUGUAGAUCAGUACUCGUCAUCGUUAGCCGGUUCAAUGCGGAAUCCUUCCGGGUGAUAUGCUUAUCGAACUGCGGCUUAAAUCGCAGGAGGACUAACUAUAUUUUAACUGAAAUUAUAUUCUAGCGAGCUAUUUUUUACUAGGAACGAACUCUUCUCAUGUCCACUUGGAUUGACUUGGAAAAAUUUCCCCUUAAAGGCAAUCAUCUCAUGACAUCAAUUGAAUGCCGCCUAUCGACUGUCGAAAACCUGGGCCGUGCUACCUCGAGAAAAACUUGGACUAUACACCGAAUUGGCUCGGAUAUUUUCCGAGGAUUAUAACGGGAAGUGCUGAUGCGGGAAGGUACUGCUAAGUUUUCCGACACGGUAGGCGAGAACGACCGGCAUCUCCAGAAGACCUAACGAUGAUUCAUGCUGCCAUGCCUGAUACGCAACAAAAUGGCUUGAUCAAUUCCAACAAGUGACAGAAGGAGUUCGAGGUCAUCUGCCAGAGGAUGCUCUGUUAGAUCGAUGGUUUGCCUCGCUGCUGGUUCUGGACGAGACGCAUUAUCCUCAAAGUAAAUGCGAGCAAAUUGUGUUUAUUUUAA